AACGAACGCUGGCGGCAGGCCUAAUACAUGCAAGUCGAACGCUCGUAGCAAUACGAGAGUGGCAGACGGGUGAGUAACACGUGGGAACCUUCCCUAUGGUUCGGAAUAGCUCAGGGAAACUUGAGGUAAUACCGGAUAAGCCCUUACGGGGAAAGAUUUAUCGCCAUUGGAUGGGCCCGCGUCGGAUUAGCUAGUUGGUGGGGUAACGGCCUACCAAGGCGACGAUCCGUAGCUGGUCUGAGAGGGNGAUCAGCCACACUGGGACUGAGACACGGCCCAGACUCCUACGGGAGGCAGCAGUAGGGAAUAUUGGACAAUGGGCGCAAGCCUGAUCCAGCCAUGCCGCGUGAGUGACGAAGGCCUUC
rnacentral:rRNA from 1 species